UACGUAGGGUGCGAGCGUUAAUCGGAAUUACUGGGCGUAAAGCGUGCGCAGGCGGUUGUGCAAGACCGAUGUGAAAUCCCCGGGCUUAACCUGGGAAUGGCAUUGGUGACUGCACGGCUAGAGUGUGUCAGAGGGGGGGUAGAAUUCCACGUGUAGCAGUGAAAUGCGUAGAGAUGUGGAGGAAUACCGAUGGCGAAGGCAGCCCCCCUGGGAUAACACUGACGCUCAUGCACGAAAGCGUGGGGGAGCAAACAGG
rnacentral:rRNA from 1 species